rnacentral:rRNA from 1 species
UACGUAGGGAGCGAGCGUUGUCCGGAUUUACUGGGCGUAAAGGGCGUGUAGGCGGGGCGGUGCAUCCUGGAGCAAAUCCGAUCGCUCAACGAUCGGUUCUUCUGGGAGAUGACCGCUCUUGAGGACAGGAGAGGAAAGUGGGAUUCCCGGUGUAGCGGUGAAAUGCGUAGAUAUCGGGAGGAACACCAGUGGCGAAGGCGACUUUCUGGCCCGUUCCUGACGCUGAGGCGCGAAAGCCAGGGGAG